UGAGGAACAAGUGAAAGGGGGAGAGCGAAGGGGGAGAGAGAGAGGAAGGGGGGAGAACCAUCCCACCUGCCACGACUCUGUCGACGUCGCAGAGCUGCUGAAUCCACUCCGAACAGGUCUCAGCACACGGGCUCAGAGUAUUAGAAAACAAAGGAAAAAGAGAUUGGAGAGAGAGGAAUCAGAGCGAUGGAGACUGCAGCGAGCCAGAGUUAAUUCAGCUUCAGUUGUGGAAAAACGUGAAGCGAUGCAGCAGGGCAGAGCUGAGAAUGAAAGGCAUGGAGGCAGUGGGGGGUAAAAGAGAAGCAAAGAGGGGCCACAGCAUGCUGAACUGCACUAAAAUGUGUGUGAAACUGCAGCUGAACCACUAACCUAUUUCAAUUUACAAUCUAAAGCUAUGCAGUUAGAUAAUGUAUCAAAUCUGAUCAUUAGAUUCAUGCUGUAAUUCAGUUUUAGGUUGAUUUUGCUCACUGCUCAGUGUAAUGUUAUUCUUCUAAACAGUCAAAAACAAAGACUUUAGAAGGACUACGUUAAAUAUUCAGGCCCUACAGUAGAAACUCAAAGCAACCAAAGUGAAAUGUCUGUCCACGUGUGAUCUCCAAUCAGUUUAACGGCAUGAACAUGGCUCUGAAAUGAGCUGUGAACGGCAGAACUUUCUCAGUUUUAUGGACUGUGUCUAUCUAUGUGUGCAUCAUGGCUCCACAUGGAAAAGAACCGGAGAGAGGAGCUGAAAAAUCGGGCUGCGAGACUUGACAAAGACGGAAAAGGAUCCUGGAAGAUGCAUGAAAAAUCAGUCAAAGCAACAGUAACCAGGAGGUAGAGAAGGAGCCGUAGUACCACUGAUCAUGGCUGCUGGGUUCGUCCUCCUUAAAUUGCCAGAGGAGCUGAAAGAAUCUGAUUAUAAGACUUCACAAAGUUGGAAAAUGAUCCAGGAAGAUCAACUAAAACACAGCUGCAGCAGUAAUCAGGAGGUACAGAAGGAUCCAUAGCACCACUAAUCAGAGCUGGAGUCCUGGUCUUUGGGUUUUUUUGUUCUACUUUUGAGUCUAUCUGCAUGUCUGCAUCAUGGCUCCACAUGGGAAAUAACUGACAGAGAAACUGAAGAUGGAAAAUAAUCCAGGAAGAUCAGCAAGAAGCUGUGAAACAGAGUGUCAGCAGUAAGCAGGAUACCUCCUCAGAAUGAGUCAUAGUACCACUAAUCAUGGCUGCAGUGGUCGUCCUCCUAAAAUGACUCCACAGACAGUGAACUACUUUCACAAUCGGACUCUAUAAACAGAUAACAGCUGCUUCAGGUUUGACAAAGGGAUUAUCAAUGGAAAACAGAGUUUCUGUGAAGCUCAACCUCUAUGGAAAGAGGACAAGAAGGCAGUCUUGCUAGCUUUUUAACACAAAGAUGCACAAUGAAACUUUGCGAAAGAGCAUCUUGAAAGAAGCCUGAUAAAUAUUGGAGAACAUUCUUUGGUCAGAUGAAGAUAAAUGAGUUGUUCUUAGAUGGAGUCCAGCAUGUUUGGUGUGAACCUGACCAGGACUACCACAGUGGAUGAAUGGUCCUGACAGUGAAGCAUGGAGGUGGAAGUAUGAUGAUAUGGAGCUGAAUGAGAGGAAAAGGUGUUGGAGAGACGACAUUGAUAGAUGAAUGUCUAUGGAUAUACCAGCAUACUGACAGACGAGAACCUGGAAGAAGAGGAAUAUUCCAGCAGGAAAACCAUCCAAAGAGCUAAAUCUACAGGAGAGUUUCCACAUACACUACCGUUCAAAAAGUUUGGGGUCAUCCCAUAGACUGCAUAUAAAGUGGACGUAGCAUCUGUCUCCAAAAAUGAAGCCCACCCGGAAGUGUCAAAAACUUGCAAUAUCACGCCGUCCGCUAGGGUUGGCUCCAAAAAGCUUUUUCUCCAUAGACCCCAAUUCAUUUUUGGAAAAAAUAAAAUUUGAUAGACUGAUGUUCUACAGCUCAGGAUUUUUUUCCCGUUAGUUUUCAUGGUCAAAAUGAGAGAUCAGGUGGCCGAUCUUAAAAUAAAUCAAUACUGAAUUUUAAAUAAAUCGUUAAAGUUGGCGGAGCCAGGGGGCGUGGCUAUACUUGAUAGACAGCAACAGAAGCCUCUGCGGUAAAAUGUGGGCGGGAUAAGAGAGUCCUCAGCCAAUCCUGCCCCUAGUUGCUCUCCGGUCCAGUCUGUUUGACGCUUUUUACGUCACUGGCUCCAAAAAAUCCAAAACGGCGACCAGGAAGUAGCAAAAUCCGGUCUUCAUUUUCUCAGCGUUGAAACCAACGGGUGACGUCACGGUUAGUUUACGCCUGGGUCAUCCACACCAAUUCCAUGUUUUUCAUGAAAACUCCCACUUUUAUCCAUGUGCUAACAUAACUGUACAAGGGUUUUCUAAUCAUCAAUGAACACCAUUAGCUAACACAAUGUAGCAUUAGAACACAGGAGUGAUGGUUGCUGGAAAUGUUCCUCUGUACCCCUAUGGAGAUAUUCCAUUAAAAAUCAGCCGUUUCCAGCUAGAACAGUCAUUUACCACAUUAACAAUGUCUACACUGGAUUUAUCAUUCAUUUAAUGUGAUCUUCAUUGAAAAAAAAUGCUUUUCUUUCAAAAAUAAGAACAUUUCUAAGUGACCCCAAACUUCUGAAUGGUAGUGUAAAAACAAAGUGAAACAACUCGGACGCGGACAGCUGUGCAGUCUUGAAUUUAAUCCGACAGAACAUGUAAUUUAAAUAGAACAGCAACACAAACCCUCCAGCAAAGAACAAAUGAAGAAAAUGACCUCUGAAAAAUGACAGAACGUCUCUGCAGAAAUCUGGUAUCUGCCGUCUGUCAUCAGAAAUAAAGGUGGACGUACAAAGCAAUCGAAAAAACAAGAUUCAAAUCUUAGUAAUGAGUGGUGGACUGACAUUUGUUGCACUGAGUAUCGACUGUGCGGUCUGUAUUUUUAUUAUAGUAAAUCUAAACUGUCAGGUUUUAAUUUGACAUCGUAACAGAUUCUCUGCUGUCCACUUGUCAGGUGAUACAGUUUACAAUUAUUUACCAUGUAAAUGACUCACUUCUGGAGUAUACUGUAUAAUACACAGAGAAAAUACUAUUAUAUAACUGCACAGUUCAGCAAUGACUCCAAUAAUCACGCUGCUUGGUUUCUCAGUGAUGGACGUCUCCACAGGUCAGUAAAAGCAAAUUAUUGCUCAAGUGACUAGGCCCUACACUCUUCUAUAAGUGGGUAAGAAAAAAGUUAUCCAAAUAAGAAGCAAUGUGUUUUUCUGCCAUUGUGGUUAAGAAUAAUCAUUUGUAUUAUUUGUUUAUAUUAUGUCAGGGUCCUCUCCUCACCCUGGCAUCCCAAAUACCCCAUCCUAGCUGUCUCCCUCCUUUGUCUCUCCUUCUCUUGCUCUCCUCUCCCUCUGCUCUCUCCUCAGCUCUGCACUUGAGUGGAGUGUGGCUUCACAGUUGCCUUCACUCAGGUGAUUACCCGCCUCUCCCAGGAUCCGGGCAGCUGUGGCCCAUCAGCUGAUUACACACAACCUGCAAUAAAAGACCGGCUCAUCGCCCACACGCUGCCAGAUUGUUAAACCAGACUCAGCAAAGACCCAGCUGCCCGGAACCCUGUCAGAUCUGCCAGUCUCCCCGAAAUCCCUCCGAACCCCUCCUGGACUCCGUCGGCACCAAGCCAUCCUCCUUGGACCCCCUACUCGGCCCGUUUCCUGGAUCCUCCAGCCAGUCUCUAGCUUUGGCCCGUCUCUGGCCCCCACUGGCUCCUUUUCCCCUCCGGCGUUCCCCCCACGAGACCACGAGACGUCAGCCGCCACCUGGCCCAUCCACCAUCACGGCCCCCCGGACCGGCAGCGCCUGACAUUUCCCACACCGCCUACACCUGUCUCCUCAUUGGCUCUCCGCCCUCGUCGGUCUCCAGACGCCAGGAACCCAUCCACCACUACCCGCCGUACUCGGGUCCCUCUCACCUCCCUCCACUAUUCGCCUGCUGAAGCAAUAAAAAUCACUUUCUUUCA